rnacentral:lncRNA from 1 species
UGGACCCUGAUUUGGACCAACUUGAAAACUGGGCCAAUAAUAAAAAAUCUAAGUACAUUUUUAGAUUCAGCAUAUCAAAGAACCCCAAGAAUUCAAUUUUUGUUAAAUCAAACUAAGUUUAAUUUUGGACCCUUUGGACCUUAAUGUAGACCAAUUUGAAAACGGGACCAAAAAUUAAGAAUCUACAUACACAGUUAGAUUCGGCAUAUCAAAGAACCCCAAUU